AAGUAGUGAAGCAGACAGUGAUGACAUCAGUGUACGGUGUAACUUACAUUUGUGCUCGGGAUCAGAUCAAGAGAAGGUUGAAGGAACGUAAUGCCAUUGCAGAUGAUACAGAGCUCUUUGGUGCAGCCUGUUAUGCUGCAAAAAUCACAUUGACUGCAUUGGGAGAGAUGUUUCAAGCUGCUCGUAGUAUCAUGGGCUGGCUCGGUGACUGUGCAAAGGUGGUACCAUAUCCUCUAUAAUCACUUUUGAUUGCUGUAAUAACAUGUUAAAUAUACAUCAGUACAUGGCAAUUAUUCUGAAGGAAUUAGAUGAUUUGCUUUAUUUCUUGGCCCUUUUUUUGUUUCCUUAACACUAGUUGGGGGUGUCAUAUAUUUUCAUUCAUGUAUUUGAGUUGAGAUUUUUUAUUUUAAAGGAGAGAACAAUUUGGUUAUCAACGAAUUAAAAACUUGGAGUCCUAUUGGUUUAAGUAAUAUUUGGUGAAUCUGCAUUUAUAGGUAUGGGACCUGAUGUUUUGUUGAUAAGCAGGUAGAUCAUCUAUAUAGCAAUUAGCAAUUAGUCUAUAUAGCAAUUGUUGAUAAGCAGGCAUAUGCCUCGGGAAGGGUAGCCAGGGUAAUAAGGCUCCCAUAGCUCUGUUCACCUUGCUUACUCAAAUGUAAGUAAAAAAAGCUUUGGAUUUCUAAGAUCACCCAGUUCCAUAAAGAAAUGAACAUGAGAAAAAGAGCACUUCACACAUCAAAUGUCAUACAGUUGCUCAAUAAUUGUUCUAGUUUCAUUAAUAAAUGCAUUCUAAUGUAGAAGCAACAAGCUGUUGAUUCGUGUGGAAUGACUUAUCACCGUGAUAAAAUCUAAAUUUAUUUGCUUGGUAAUUAUAUUUGAUUUCAUUAAUUGUUUGGCCACGAUGCGUUAUGCUUGGGCGGUACAGGUGCUUCAGUGUCUAGAAGGAAAUUUUAUUGACAUUUAUGUUUGGCAUUUUGACAGGGAAAUGAUAUGCAUAGGACAAACUUGCUAAACAUUUGAAGUGGCUAAAACAAUAUCGAUGGGGCCAUCAUUGAAAAGUGGAUCAAAAGUUGGGAAAAGUGGAUCAAAAGUUCACGAACCAGACCAGCACCCUCCCCAACAUAUUUCUUAACAAGUUCACGAAGCUAAAUUGUACAAGACUACUUGGCAGCAUAAGCAUUUUUUGAAGGAUUAAAUAUUUGUGGAUAGAUGUGUAUGGAUAACAAAUAUUAGUAGUUUUAUUUGUUGAUAGCUGCGCAUGGAUAACAAAUAGUUAUGUUUGAAAUUGUUAUGCUACAUGGAUGUGACUUGUGAAUGAAAACUUAGAAUAGUUGUAUUGUGUCGAAUGUUAAUGAAUUAUGUAUUGUGUCGAAUGUUAAUGAUUCAGUUAAUUUGAA